UACAGAGGGGGCAAGCGUUGUUCGGAAUUACUGGGUGUAAAGGGCGCGUAGGCGGCCUGUUAAGUCGAACGUGAAAUCCCCGGGCUCAACCCGGGAACUGCGUCCGAUACUGGCAGGCUUGAAUCCGGGAGAGGGAUGCGGAAUUCCAGGUGUAGCGGUGAAAUGCGUAGAUAUCUGGAGGAACACCGGUGGCGAAGGCGGCAUCCUGGACCGGCAUUGACGCUGAGGCGCGAAAGCCAGGGGAGCAAACAGG
rnacentral:rRNA from 1 species